AUAAUGACUUCCUUAAAGGGAUCCUAUAUAAAGCAAACGAAGUAGGUUUACAUUACUACUAAUCGGCUGAAAGUCUCCUCAUAGUGUGUCACGUUGAUAGAAGGAAAUAAAACCAUUCGCCAUGAAACUAUUACUUUUUGUUACAUUGAUUUUAUCAAUCGUUGCUUGGGCAAGUGCAAAAUCAAAACUCUUCUGUGAUUUAGCGUGUGCACAUGACUACGUUCCUGUCUGUGGAAGUAAUGGACAGACAUAUGACAACAAAUGCAUAUGUGAGUGUCGCGGUGCAAGGAUUGCUCACAAAGGCAAAUGCUAACAAAAUCAUGAAGCAAAUAAAAGAAAGUAAUAAAAUUCAAAACAAAAUAUAGCAAUAAAUCAUUCAA